UACGUAGGGUGCGAGCGUUUGUCCGGAAUUAUUGGGCGUAAAGAGCUUGUAGGCGGUUUGUCGCGUCUGCUGUGAAAAUCCGGGGCUCAACCCCGGACUUGCAGUGGGUACGGGCAGACUAGAGUGUGGUAGGGGAGACUGGAAUUCCUGGUGUAGCGGUGAAAUGCGCAGAUAUCAGGAGGAACACCGAUGGCGAAGGCAGGUCUCUGGGCCACUACUGACGCUGAGAAGCGAAAGCGUGGGGGAGCGAACAGG
rnacentral:rRNA from 1 species